CAUUUUAGUCCAACAAGUUGCAA
rnacentral:miRNA from 1 species